UAGAAGUUUAUGACUACUAUCAAGAAGAUGAAAGAUGUGUAAAGUUUUACAGUCUUAAAUACGAAGUGGCGGAACUAGAUAUCUUUUGCAGUAAGGGUAACUGCACUUGUAUUGAAGAUUCGUGUGCAGAAUCAUGGGAUGCUAAACUACGGUACAACCAAAUCUCCAGGACACAGCUCUACCAACGGACGUGUAAUCUGUAUGAUUACGGUCAGUGCCAUAGUUUUUAGCUAAUUAAUAUAAAGUUCGAUAUCCAAAUGUUAGAUUCAAGUAUAAAACUAACAUAGCCUUGGUAUUGUGUUACUGCAGUGGUCCGGGUAGAAGUGACCAAUGUUGUAGCGUCCGGAAAUCACCUGGUGUUCUCAGCCACUGUCAGAUCGGUCAUCAAACAAGGAAAGGGCAAUAUCCAGGUGAAUGAUGAAAUCGAAUUUUGGGUUAAUAUCCGAUGUGAAACAGAUUUCGAAGUAGAUCAUUAUUUUUUCGUAUAUGGCAAGAAAAGCAUUGUUUACACCGAUCAGAGGGGCCAUCUAAGAUAUCGGUACUAUUUACAAGGAGAAACUGCUAUUUUUAAGGAUUACACAAGAACUGAAUAUGGCAGCAGUUCAGUUCUGCGCUACUGGGGUCGAUAUUUGUGGCGUCUGGAGCGCUACAUCAGGACUAGAGGCUGUUAGUAACACAGUAGUGGCGCUAAAAGCAGAAUGUAUGUCCACUGUUGAACUUGAUAAAAUAUUAAGAUUUUCUUUCAUAAAAUUGUGUUUUCUGUAUGAAAUAAAUAAUACAUU
rnacentral:misc_RNA from 1 species